AUUGAACGCUGGCGGCAGGCCUAACACAUGCAAGUCGAGCGAGAGGCGGACGGGUGAGUAAUGUAUGGGGAUCUGCCCGAUAGAGGGGGAUAACUACUGGAAACGGUGGCUAAUACCGCAUACUAUAGGAUGAACCCAUAUGGGAUUAGCUAGUUGGUGUGGUAAAGGCUCACCAAGGCGACGAUCUCUCGCUGGUCUGAGAGGAUGACCAGCCACACUGGGAAGGAGCAACGGCCCAGACUCCUACGGGAGGCAGGAGUGGGGAAUAUUGCACAAUGGGCUCAAGCCUGAUGCAGCCAUGCCGCGUGUAUGAAGAAGGCCUUAGGGUUGUAAAGGUCUUUCGGCGGAGAGGCGUUAACCGCAGAAGAAGCACCGGCUAACUCCGUGCCAGCAGCCGCGGUAAUUC
rnacentral:rRNA from 1 species